GAGCGUGUGGAGGACCGAACCCACCUAGGUUGAAAACUGGGGGGAUGAGCUGUGGGUAGGGGUGAAAGGCCAAUCAAACUCCGUGAUAGCUGGUUCUCCCCGAAAUGCAUUUAGGUGCAGCGUUGCGUGUUGCCCGGCGGAGGUAGAGCUACUGGGUGGCUGAUGGGCCUUACAGGGUUACUGACGUCAACCAAACUCCGAAUGCCGCCUGGGUUGUAGCGUGGCAGUGAGACUGUGGGGGAUAAGCUCCGUGGUCGAGAGGGAAACAGCCCAGAUCGCCGGCUAAGGCCCCUAAGCGUGUGCUAAGUGGGAAAGGAUGUGCGGUCGCGCAGACAACCAGGAGGUUGGCUUAGAAGCAGCCAUCCUUGAAAGAGUGCGUAAUAGCUCACUGGUCAAGUGAUUCUGCGCCGAUAAUGUAGCGGGGCUCAAGUACACCGCCGAAGUUGUGGCAAUCAGUCUUUGUGGCUGGUUGGGUAGGGGAGCGUCCUGCACGAGGUGAAGCUGCCACGGGAGUGUGUGGUGGAUUGUGUGGGAGUGAGAAUGCAGGCAUGAGUAGCGAAUCACGGGUGAGAAACCCGUGCGCCGGAUGAUCAAGGGUUCCAGGGUCAAGUUAAUCUGCCCUGGGUUAGUCGGGGCCUAAGGCGAGGCCGACAGGCGUAGUCGAUGGAGAACGGGUUGAUAUUCCCGUACCAGUGAAGGACCGUCCAUACUGAUAUUGUGAUGCUAACCAUGCCGAUCACGGUGUCAUGAAGUUUUUCUUUGUGGUGUUGUGGGGUGUGUGGGACCCAAGCUUUGGAGGUAAGCGUGUUAACAGGUGUGACGCAGGAAGGUAGCCAAGCCACGCGGUGGUUGUCGUGGUCUAAGCGUGUAGGAUGACUGGUUGUUAAAUGCGCUGGUUGUGUGUCUGAGACGUGAUGGGACCCCUUGUUUGUGGGGGAUUUGGUGAUCCUAUGCUGCCGAGAAAAGCAUCGGCGUGAGGUUUUAGCUGCCCGUACCCGAAACCGACACAGGUGAUCAGGUAGAGAAUACUAAGGCGAUCGAGAGAAUCAUGGUUAAGGAACUCGGCAAAAUGCCCCCGUAACUUCGGGAGAAGGGGGGCCUGAACCUUGAAACAGCUGGCCUGUUAGGGGGGAGGGUCGCAGAGGCCAGGGGGAAGCGACUGUUUACUAAAAACACAGGUCCGUGCGAAGCCGUAAGGCGAUGUAUACGGACUGACGCCUGCCCGGUGCUGGAAGGUUAAGAGGAACCAUCAACCCCCUCGUGGGGUGAAGUGGUGAAUUUAAGCCCCAGUAAACGGCGGUGGUAACUAUAACCAUCCUAAGGUAGCGAAAUUCCUUGUCGGGUAAGUUCCGACCUGCACGAAUGGCGUAACGACUUCCCUACUGUCUCAACCAUGAGCUCGGCGAAAUUGCACUACGAGUAAAGAUGCUCGUUUCGCGCAGAAGGACGGAAAGACCCCGGGACCUUUACUAUAGCUUGGUAUUGGCGCCCGCUAUAGCUUGUGCAGGAUAGGUGGGAGACUGUGAAGCUGUCACGCUAGUGGUGGUGGAGUCGUCGUUGAAAUACCACUCUGGUUAUGGCGUGCGCCUGAACCUGGGCCCGUGAUCCGGGUUAGGGACAGUGCCUGGUGGGUAGUUUAACUGGGGCGGUUGCCUCCUAAAGUGUAACGGAGGCGCUCAAAGGUUCCCUCGGCCUGGUCGGUAACCAGGUGUUGAGUGUAAGUGCACAAGGGAGCUUGACUGUGAGACUGACGGGUCGAGCAGGUACGAAAGUAGGAACUAGUGAUCCGGCGAUCCCGUGUGGGUGGGUCGUCGCUCAACGGAUAAAAGGUACCCCGGGGAUAACAGGCUGAUCCUGCCCAAGAGUCCAUAUCGACGGCAUGGUUUGGCACCUCGAUGUCGGCUCGUCGCAUCCUGGGGCUGGAGUUGGUCCCAAGGGUUGGGCUGUUCGCCCAUUAAAGCGGUACGCGAGCUGGGUUUAGAACGUCGUGAGACAGUUCGGUCCCUAUCCUCUGCGCGCGCAGGAGACUUGAGAAGACCUGUCCCUAGUACGAGAGGACCGGGACGGACGAACCUCUGGUAUGCCAGUUGUUCCGCCAGGAGCACGGCUGGUUAGCUACGUCCGGACAUGGAUAACCGCUGAAAGCAUCUAAGCGGGAAACCAUCUUCAAGACCAGGUCUCCACCACCUCUCCUCCUUUCUUUUUCGCUAUAGUGAUAUAGAGGGGAGGGGUGGGAAGGCCCCCAGAUGAUGACUGGGUUGAUAGGCCGGAGGUGGACACCCAGUAACGGGCACCAAGCCGACCGGUACUAACACGGCCGAUCACACACAAGA
rnacentral:rRNA from 1 species